rnacentral:siRNA from 1 species
AGCCAAAAGUUGUUAUGUCACCA